GGAUGUGGGGGUGAUCGGGCUGUGACUUCUGUCACCCCAUUGAUCGCCAGAGUUGAUGCGGCUGAUCUGGCUGGCUAGGCAGGUGUCCCCUUCCUCCCUCAGUGCUCCAUGUGCUGCUCCAUGUGCGUCCCUCCCGAAGCUGCGUGCUCGGUGGAAGAGGAUGACCCCAUGCCCCCACCACAAUAGAGGUGGCCAUUCCUCGGUCAGGGGUGCGCAGGUGCUGUGCUCCCCUGCUAGAACCUCCAAACAAGCUCUCAGGGUUCAGUACUAUUUGUUGAAGAGCUUACUUCAAAGUUUUAAAAAAAUUACACUCAAAAGAGAAAAAGAAAUUGGAUAUAUUACUUAAACUUUUCUAUAAUUU
rnacentral:snRNA from 1 species